CUUUAGGAUACUACUUGUUCCCUUUCAUUAUUGAGCUUUUGCUCUUUUGAUACAUAAGCCCGAUAACUCCUUAUUCUUCUUUAGUUUUCUAGACAUGCAUUAGUUCAACUGAGUUAUUUGUGUAUCUUUUCCCCAUUUUCAAGGAAUAUAAGAAACCUCUUUUCUCCUGUGGGAGUUCUUCAAGUAAUGAGGAAAAAUAUUGCUGGUAUGCUCACAUUGCGCUGGGACAAGUUACUUGGUAGACAGUCUUCUAGUAUAUUUGCCUUGAAGGGCUAUACCUUUUUUUUUUUUUUUCAUCAAGUAUUACAACACAAGUUUUACCUAUAAGGUGAACUAUUGCUUGAGUAUGAGGGUUAGGAUGUUUAUUUGUUCUUUAUUCUUUUGGACGUGAAGUUGAUGUGGAAUAGUUUUAACUUAUAAAAAUUGUCCGGGUAAGGUUCUAUGUCAAUUAAGCAAUAGCUUUUAUGAAAUGUGAUGUAUUUUUGUUUUAAUAAGGUAAAGUGCUAUUAAUAAAGGUACCAAGACUGUUGACCAACAACUGCCAGAAACAUAUAAACUACAUAUCACCUAUCUCCUCUAGGAAAUCAAAGUACUGUUCCAAAUUUUCCAUAACAUUUCUUUUACACCAAAAAAAAAAAAAAAAAAAAAAAUCAUUUUAAGCCUGGAUACAUGUUGUCUUAUCUCUUCAAAACAGUUGUUUCUCUCAAACCAUAUUGUCCAUAAACACAUAGGGGGGUUGUUCUCUACACUGACUGCUGACUUUUUGCCCUUUUUUUGUUGCCAUGUCUCCGGCAAACUCUUUCACAUUUGGUGACAUAACCCACUUAAUACCAUACAUAUUAAGGAAUAUCUCCCAACACUGUCUUGCCACUUCGCAAUGAAUGAGGACAUGGUUGACUGUUUCUAACUCUUCUUCACACAUAUAGCAUAUAUUGCAUAAUUCCUCUUUUCCGUAGAUUAUCCUAGGUUAAUCAAGCGUCCUUUGCCAAUAAGCUUUUGUUAUGCAACCUUCAAUUUCUUACUCCCGGACCCCCUCCCUUCUUUUUUUCCCUUUCAUCACGUCGUGCCAUUUAACCAAAUGGAACUUCUUACUGUCAGCAUUACCUUCCCAAAGGUAUGUAUUAUUAUUUUUUAUUUUUUUUGGUGAAGUAACUAAAAUGCAUUAGAAUGGCAUCAAGAAGAUGCAGAGUUUACAACUAAACAUAAAACUGCUUCAAACAAUAAUUAACAUGAAGCCAGCUUUACUAAAACAUGUAAACCAAAGAUUGAAAAAGAUAUCCUCUAAGACCUUAUUGUGCUGGAGUUAGGGAGCUAACAAAAUCCAAAAAAAUAUCCACACUGUUUACAGGGGAGAAAAAGUGCGUACUGAAAAGAGUAACUAAAAAUCUAACCUUAAUGAUAUUUAUGGGCAUAUUCCAUCAAAACAUCUGCAGUUUCUCUCUUUCCAAUUACUCCAAAAAAUUGCUGCUGGGAUCAUCCUCCAGAUCCUUUUGAUGGUCUUAUCAACCCUAAGGAAGGUAUUUUCUUAGCAUUGAAUUAUUCGUCAUUGCUGCAUGCACUUUUAUUAGAAACAUCAAGAAUAGGCAUACCAUCUAGCACAUUGUUAACCAGUAUAAGUCUUCCCCUAAAUGACAAGUUAUAUUUUUUUCCACUGAACCAAUUUAUUACUACACCUAUUCAAAACUCCCUGCCACAUCUUCUGGUCAUUCUUUUUUAGCUCCUAAAGGUAGGCCUAAAUAAGUAGUAGGAAGCUGCUCCAGCUUACAACUCAUAAUGUGUGCCAGAUCAUCAGUGCAAUGUUCUGCAUUAAUUCUGAACACUUUACUCUUAGCCAGGUUUACUCUAAUCCUGACACAACUUCAAAAGCCUAAUAGAACUCCUUUUAGAUGUAAACGUUGAUCUUUCUCUGCUUCAUACAAAAUUGGAGUAUCAUCUGCAUAAAAUAUGUGUUAGACUGUUAGUUCUUCUUCCUCACUUCUUCAACAUUUCAGCCCUCUAAUCCAUCCCAAAUUUUCUGCUUUUUGAAGCAUUCUGCUGAGAAUUUCCAUCAUCAACAAGAACACAUAAGUAGACAAGGGAUCUCCCCUGCCUUAAUCCCCCCGUGAGGCUUGAAAUAUCCCUGAGGACUUCCAUUAAUCAGAACUGAGAAGAACUGUGGAUGUACAGUAUUUUAUCCACCCAAUCCAUGUAUCCCCAAAAUUCAUUUGCUUCCUGCGAUAUGACAAAUAUGACCAAUUAACUAGGUCAAAUGCCUUUUCCAAAUCUAGCUUGCAAGCCACACCUUAAUCUUCUUCGUGGAUUGAUAUCCAAGCAUUUAUUGGCUACUAUAUCAGCAUCAACAAUUUGCCUGCCUUUUACAAAGGUGUUUUGAUUAUCUAAUACCAACUUCCCAAUCACUUGCUUUUAGUCUUUUAGCGAUUAGCUUUGCAGUUAUUUUGUAAAUACUACCCAAUUAGCUAAUUGGCCUGAAAUCUUUCCCCUCCAUGACCCCUUUCUCCUUAGGAAUAAGAGCAGUGAGAGUUGAAUUAAGGCUCCUGGUGAAAGUGCUUUUUUGUGAAAACCAAUUUACUGCCCUCUAAACAUCUUCCCUGACUGUAGUCAAAUAUUGAUGGAAAAAAGAACAUAUUAAAGCCAUCUGGACCUAGUACCUUGUCUCUCUUUAAUAAUUUAAUAACCCUUUGUACCUCCUCCAUGGAAAAAGGUCUCUGUAUUAAUCUGGAUUUUCACUUUUCUAAUACUCCCUCCGUCAACUUAUAUGGCAUACUUUCCUUUUUAGUCUCUCCCAGAAGAAUGUCACCUUAUAAUUGGAAAUAACUAACUUUAAAAUUCCCCUUUUACGCGUAAUGAAUGAUUUGUAGCCAUACAGAUGUCUAAGAUUUGUUUUAGACCAUAAAUUUCAAAAGUAUUGCUUUCUUUCUUAAACCUUGUGCCUAGUAAAGCGUUGCCACAUAAAUUCGGGACAGAGGGAGUAUUCACCUAAAGUUAUAUCUAGUUAACUCAUCUUACAUAUAUUUUUGUUUUUCCUUUGUUUGCACUCCCUUAUAGAAAUGCAUGACAUAUUUAAUACCAUAAGAUCCAAAUGGUAUUUUUGGUAUGCUAUAAACAUCUUUAGUAAACCCCAAGAUUCAAGAGUUCUCUUUACAUUCUUCAACUUCAUAUCUAGUUAAACUAAGACUCAUAAAAUGAAACUGAGCGCGUACUUUAUUUUUUGGUAAAGUGAUUUCGCUUGCUAGCACUAAUAAAGCCUAGAUAUUUGACUUAUCAAAGAUAAAAAUAAAAUUGAAAAUAUCAUUUCAUAAAAAGCAUAGAGUUUGUCCCUGUAAUGGCUUUGGGAGCACUAACAAAGUUUAGAAGUAUAUGCAUGUUGAGGGUUGUUUUUUCGGUCUGGUGGUAGUUAUGCUUUUCUUGAGAAAGGUAAAGAUUAUCCAUCAGCACAAAGGCUAUGCUGGAGUCAUAUUUAUAGUUGCCAAAAGAAUAAAUAAAUAUGUGUCCAUAUUCUUCUUAUGAGGAUUCUCAGAAUUCUAAUAGAGUUUCAGCUUCCUCUACAUAGUUCUCUUUACACCAAAGUGUGGCGGAAGUUAUGCUUUGUUCCGCAGAUUGGAUUUAAAAGAAACAUUAAUGAGAUAGAAGUUAGAACUGCCCUCUCUGUUUAAAUUUUGUAUUUUACUUGGGAGAGAGGGACAUCUGAUCCUCCAACAUUUUAGUUUGUUGUUUCUGUAUUAAUUGUUUUCUAAAGCGAUUAGAGGGCACUCGUUGAAACUUUUGUAUUGGUUGCAAGACAACAUUAUCUGGUCCUCCAUAGUUGUAGUUCUUUUUGUUUUAUUGAUAAAUCUUUCUCAUUAAGAAAACAUCAUUAAGAUUUUGGUGGUAUAAUUCCGAUGAGAAGUUUUAUGGUUCAAGGCUUUCGAGUCUCGUUUUUCCGUGUGGGCAGUUUCAACUGACAAAAGCUUGACUCAUUGUUAAUAUCUUUCCUUUAGAUAGUCCAUGUUUUUUGGCAAUAGAGCACAAAUGAGUAUUAGAUAAUUUACAAAGUAGUUACAACUUAAGAGAGCUCAAAAUCCUACAUUACACUUUACUAUUAAUGUUUUCAAAAUUAGAUGAAUACAUAAUAUCUUGAUGCACCUAAAUCCAAAGUGUGAAUUAACUCCUUGUCGUUUAUGAAAUCGGGCUAUCAAGUUUAAUCUCUUCUUUAAAAGUUUAUGGUGUUUCGCUUUAGCAAGCACUCAUAACUUCGUUUUUCUUUGUUGUUUUGCCUAUCGGUGAAGGACAAUUUAAACAUUAUGAGACAGAAUUAUUGAAAUUCUAUCCAUCUAGUUCGUAUUUUUAAAUCUUUGACAUGCUACCCGUAGUUUGUGCUUUUUCCUUGUUGGUGUUGGAGGCAUUAGUUAUGUAUUUGCAAGUUCGUUUGGUUGCUAUGUCUUUCUUUCCUUCCAACCUCGAGGUGGUAUUUUAGUGGACAAGGAUUUGUAACUAAACUUGACAAAAAAAAAAAAAAACGUGUCUUUGUGUGUCUAGGCCUUUAUCUAUUAUAACAUGUUAAUUUCCUGCUCCUGUUGUCCCAUUUUAUCUG